GUACAAUCAAGCACCGCUUGGCGUUGGGGUGGGUCUCGCGACCCUCCCGUAACUGGUUGGCGGCACCGCCCGGCCCUGAAGCGUAGCAGAAAUCUCGCUCCGGGGGCUCUGGCGGGGCCCGCCAGGUGACCGACAUCAAA
rnacentral:misc_RNA from 1 species